CAUGUCAAAACCAUAGAUGAUCCCCUCUAUAACAAGGAUACACCGCAGACUUUGCUAAGGUUUUUGAAGCGACAACGUGACAAAAAGCUAAUACUUUGGCCUUACAACUUCGAGUUUCACUUUAUUCUUCUCGUCAUCAAUUUGGAAAUUGGAGAAGUUGAAGUCUUGGACUCACUAACCAAAGAAAAGGAUCUAUACGUGUCUUGUUUUUUAAUGCUCAGAAGCGUAUGGCAAACUUUCAUCAAGGAAGAUACGUCC